UAGGAGGAGGCCCCUAGAACUUGGCCUCCAGCAGGAAGGAAAUACGGGACUCUGCCCAAGUAUGCUAAAGGCUUGCUGCAAGCCAAGGCCCGCGCAGGGGCUUCUGGAAGCUUCCCGGAGCAGCUGGCGGAGGGAAAGCUGGCAACAUGGAGAGGCAGGAAGAACCCGGGGCCCGGGCCUGGAGCCGGCACCUGGAGCCCCAGCGUUCCUGUAAAUGUUGGAGCCAAGAGCUGGAGUCAGCGCCUUGGACCUGGGAGAGGCCAGGAGGCCAGGGAGCCUCAAGCACUCUGGAGGAAGAAGCCUGCAAUGAAAAGGACUCCAUUUGAAAAUGGCAGUUCCACCAGGCAGCGGGAGGAUUUUCCCUGGAGCUGGCCCUCCUGUCACUGCACCACUUCUAACGCCCGUGCAGAUUAAAAGCUGCCAUGUAUGGGCGGAUGUGGAUCCUAUAUUUUGAUUUCAUCUAAUUCUUCUUAAACUGGACUGGCUUAUUUAAUAGGAAGACGUUGUGGCUCUUGCUGAAGGCAGAAUUAGCAACCAUUCCAUUACCUUUUAAGACAUCUGUGGACAAUCUUUCCCAACCAUAAAAUCAUUUCCAUUCUCCAACCAUCAAGUUUUCAAAUGGAUUUCGUAAAUGUGCAAAAACUCCAGGCAAAUCUAUUUUUUAAAAAUGUCAGGCUGCAAAUGAGGAAAAUCAGAAAGGGAGAAGCGAACACCAUCUGUCAAUGCCCCACCGGCCUUCACAGCAGCCCAGUUCUUAUGAUUAACCUAGCAUACUCCCCAUAAAGUCUAAAUCAUUCUCACCUUCCCAGGAGUUUGUAAGCCAGACAAUUGUGAAGGGGAACGACUCAUAAUAUGACUGCAAAAUUUCACAGCUGAAAGUCAAAUAGCAAUGAUUUUGCUUUGCCAGCCUGACACCACCUUGACCAUGUGGAUGUGAGUCCCCGGGCAGUGAACAUGCUCUGUGAAGCGUCGGAGUCAUGUUGGUGCAAGCAGCUCCUCGGUUUAAAAAGUGCUAGGACACGGUCACAGAGGGCAUCGGGCACUUUUUUCUCCAUCAAAAUUCCAUACAUUAUGAUAACUGGGGAAUUAAUGCCAACCACAACCACAACAUAAAACCUCCACCAAUUAUGCUGUGAGU